rnacentral:rRNA from 1 species
GAAGCGGGCGCGAGUCUUGGGUUAAAAACCUAAAGGCGAAAUGAAAGUAAAGAGUGUUUUUUACAUUCGAGGGAAGAUGGUCGAUUAGCCUUUUAUUAGGCGUCGGCCCGCACUCCCGGGGCGUCUCUAUCUCAUUUUGAGUAGAGGCGCACCUAUAGCGCACACGCUGAUACCCGAAAGAUGGUGAACUAUGCCUGGCCAGGACGAAGCCAGGGGAAACCCUGGUGGAGGUCCGCAGCGAUUCUGACGUGCAAAUCGAUCGUCGGAGCUAGGUAUAGGGGCGAUAGACCAAUCGAACCAUCUAGUAGCUGGUUCCCUCUGAAGUUUCCCUCAGGAUAGCUUGCGCUCGGAGAGAAGAGUCUCAUCCGGUAGAGCGAAUGAUUAGAGGCCUUGGGGUCGAAACGACCUCAACCUAUUCUCAAACUCCAAAUAGAUGAGAUCCCCGGCUUGCUUGAAAGUGAAGCCGGGAGACUCGGAUCAGAGUGCCAAGUGGGCCAAUUUUGGUAAGCAGAACUGGCGCUGUGGGAUGAACCAAACGCAGAGUUAAGGCGCCUAAAUCGACGCUCAUGUGAAACCAUGAAAGGCGUUGGUUGCUAAGACAGCAGGCACG